rnacentral:rRNA from 1 species
GACGAACGCUGGCGGCGUGCUUAACACAUGCAAGUCGAACGAAGAGCGAUGGAAGCUUGCUUCUAUCAAUCUUAGUGGCGAACGGGUGAGUAACGCGUAAUCAACCUGCCCUUCAGAGGGGGACAACAGUUGGAAACGACUGCUAAUACCGCAUACGAUCUAAUCUCGGCAUCGAGGAUAGAUGAAAGGUGGCCUCUAUGUAUAAGCUAUCACUGAAGGAGGGGAUUGCGUCUGAUUAGCUAGUUGGAGGGGUAACGGCCCACCAAGGCGAUGAUCAGUAGCCGGUCUGAGAGGAUGAACGGCCACAUUGGGACUGAGACACGGCCCAGACUCCUACGGGAGGCAGCAGUGGGGAAUCUUCCGCAAUGGACGAAAGUCUGACGGAGCAACGCCGCGUGAGUGAUGACGGCCUUCGGGUUGUAAAACUCUGUUAAUCGGGACGAAAGGCCUUCUUGCGAAUAGUGAGAAGGAUUGACGGUACCGGAAUAGAAAGCC